AGCUGAACAUGCAGCGAGAAUUUGGUUUUCUGUGUGAUUGCACCGUUGCUAUUGGAGACGUCUACUUCAAAGCCCACAGAGCAGUGCUUGCUGCUUUUUCUAACUAUUUCAAGAUGAUAUUUAUUCACCAAACAAGCAGUGUCUGCCAAACGUUGUCUUCCUAGUGUUGAGGAGGAAGAAAUGGCUAUCCACUCCAGUAUUCUUGCCAGGAAGAUGCUAUGGAUAGAAGAACCUGGCUUUCAGCAGGUGAUCUUGCACAAGUGGAUUUACACAAGUCUAUCUGGGGUAGAAGAAAGAUGGAGAGGGAAAAUGCACUCCCUGUUUCCACAAGGACAUUUACUCACUCCUGCCUGCCGUCCAUUCAGAGUAUACAGACCUUCAGCUGCUCCUGCCCUCCAAGGUGCCAUCAGCUCCAAGCCCAGAGUCUCCUGGGGGUCCACAGAGGUCUAACCUUCACUGGGGUCCCUCCACAAUUCAUCAGAUGGUGCCUCUCCCCUUGAUGCUGCCAAUUUGUGAUGAACCCUGUUCUUCUUCCAAAAAUACACCCUUCUGCGUGCACACGUCAAAAGUGACAAUACUGCUCUGCUUCUUCAGCUGCUGACAAUUUCUCCAGAAUCAAUGUACGUUCUACAAUAUCCAAGGUGCAGGAUAAAUGGUUUAGAGUUCUUAUUAAAAGGGGAUUUCGACAAACCCUGAGCACUGAUGAAUGUCAAGAUCACUGAGGUGAUGGUGAGGCCUCCUGCCUCUGGAGGGGCUGAGGGACACUGGCUUGCAGGCCCGUCUGGCCACCACUGUGGCAUGGUGAUGCUGCCCAGAGUGCUGCGAGGAGCAGGGCUCACACCUCUUGUUUAGUCGCUCAGUUGUGUCCGACUCUUUGUGAUCCCUUGGACUAGCCUGACAGGCUCCUUUGCCCAUGGAAUUUCCCAGGCAAGAAUACUGGAGUGGGUUGCCAUUUCCUUCUCCAGGGGAUCUUCCCAAUCCAGGGAUCCAACCAGUGUCUCCUGCUUGGCAGGCAGAUUCUUUACCACUGAGACACCUGAACUUUCCUGAGGCCCAAGCCAGCAGAGCUGAAAGUAGAUUUGGCUUUAACGUUCUGUACUUCUGACUGUAACACUGCCUCGUACCGCCUUCUGACUACACUGAAAGAAGCUCCAAAAGGAGAUGUAUUGAUUUCUUUUACUUGCGUACUGGCUUAGUUCACUAUUUCAAUCCUGUUAUUGCAGGUAAGAAAAAGCUGCAGAUAUACUGGUUGGCCAGAAAGUUCAUUUGGGUUUUUCUGUACAUCUCAAACGAAUUUUCUGGCCAACCAAAUAGGCUACUGGGCAGAUCUGUGGGGGAAACCUGGGCACAGGAUCAAUGCAGACUUCGGGCCAGAGUCCAAACUAACUAAGUCAGUCCAAAUCAUGCCCGUAACCUUUCCUCUACUUCCCAAUUAGCAAUUUUCCUCCUAAAACAUGUAUGAAACCUGUAAGACAGGAAGGAUCUGAAAAUUAAUUCAUCUCAAAGCGUAAAUAAUCAGCCAUAAAAAGGAACCCAUUUGAGUUAGUUCUAAUGCGGUGGAUGAACCUAGAACCUAUUAUACAGAGUGAAGUAAGUCAGAAAGAGAAAGAUAAAUACCGUAUUCUAACACACAUAUACGGAAUCUAGAAAAAUGGUACUGAAUAAUUUAUUUACAGGGCAGCAGUGGAGAAACAGGCAUAGAAAACAGACUUACGGGCAUGGGGAGAGGGGAGGUGAGGGUGAGAUGUAAGGAAAGAGUAACAUGGAAACUUACAUUACCAUAUGUAAAACAGAUAGCCAAUGGGAAUUUGCU